rnacentral:rRNA from 1 species
GAUGAACGCUGGCGGUAUGCUUAACACAUGCAAGUCGAACGGACUCUUCGGAGUUAGUUGCGGACGGGUGAGUAACGCGUGAGAAUCUGGCUUUGGGUUCGGGACAACCACUGGAAACGGUGGCUAAUACCGGAUAUCCCAAGCGGUAAAAGAGAAAUUGCCUGAAGAUGAGGUCGCGUCUGAUUAGCUAGUUGGUGAUGUAAAGACACACCAAGGAAGCGAUAAGUAGCCGGUCUGAGAGGAGGACCAGCCACAACGCGACUGAGAGACGGCCCAGACGACUACGGGAGGAAGCAGUAGAGAAUAUUACGGAACGAGCGAAGGACUGACGAAGCAAUACGGCGUGAGGAGAGAAGAAUCUUGGAGUGUAAAACAGCUUUUUUAGGCAAGAACAAAAUGACGGUACCUAAGGAAUAAGCACCGGCUAACUCCGUG